rnacentral:rRNA from 1 species
UCAGUAACGGCGAGUGAAGCGGCAACAGCUCAAAUUUGAAAUCUGGCCCCAGGCCCGAGUUGUAAUUUGCAGAGGAUGCUUUUGGUGCGGUGCCUUCCAAGUUCCCUAGAACGGGACGCCAGAGAGGGUGAGAGCCCCGUACAGUUGGACACCAAGCCUUUGUAAAGCUCCUUCGACGAGUCGAGUAGUUUGGGAAUGCUGCUCAAAAUGGGAGGUAUAUUUCUUCUAAAGCUAAAUACCGGCCAGAGACCGAUAGCGCACAAGUAGAGUGAUCGAAAGAUGAAAAGCACUUUGAAAAGAGGGUUAAACAGCACGUGAAAUUGUUAAAAGGGAAGCGCUUGUGACCAGACUUGCGUCCGGUGAAUCACCCAGCUCUCGCGGCUGGGGCACUUCGCCGGCUCAGGCCAGCAUCAGCUCGCUGUCGGGGACAAAAGCUUCAGGAACGUAGCUCUCUUCGGGGAGUGUUAUAGCCUGUUGCACAAUACCCUUCGGCGGGCUGAGGUACGCGCUCCGCAAGGAUGCUGGCAUAAUGGUCAUCAGCGACCCGUCUUGAAACACGGACCAAGGAGUCAACCUUAUGUGCGAGUGUUCGGGUGUCAAACCCCUACGCGUAAUGAAAGUGAACGCAGGUGAGAGCUUCGGCGCAUCAUCGACCGAUCCUGAUGUUCUCGGAUGGAUUUGAGUAAGAGCAUAUAGGGUUGGACCCGAAAGAAGGUGAACUAUGCGUGUAUAGGGUGAAGCCAGAGGAAACUCUGGUGGAGGCUCGCAGCGGUUCUGACGUGCAAAUCGAUCGUCAAAUAUGCGCAUGGGGGCGAAAGACUAAUCGAACCUUCUAGUA